rnacentral:rRNA from 1 species
AACGCGAAGAACCUUACCAGGAUUUGACAUCCAACUAACGAAGCAGAGAUGCAUUAGGUGCCCUUCGGGGAAAGUUGAGACAGGUGGUGCAUGGUUGUCGUCAGCUCGUGUCGUGAGAUGUUCGGUUAAGUCCGCUAACGAGCGCAACCCUUGUCCUUAGUUGCUAACAUUAAGUUGAGAACCCUAGGGAGACUGCCGAUAAUAAAUCGGAGGAAGGUGGGGAUGACGUCAAAUCAUCAUGCCCCUUACGUCUAGGGCUACAGGCGUGCUAUAAUGGCCAUUAUAAAGAGAAGCAAAGCUGUGAGGUGGAGCAAAACUCCAAAGAUGGUCUCAGUUCGGAUUGAAGUCUGCAACUCGACUACAUGAAGCUGGAAUCGCUAGUAAUCGCGAAUCAGAAUGUCGCGGUGAAUACGUUCCCGGGUCUUGUACACACGC